rnacentral:rRNA from 1 species
GACGAACGCUGGCGGCGUGCUUAACACAUGCAAGUCGAACGAAGCCUGAUUACGGAUUCUUCGGAUGAAGUAAGAUAUGACUGAGUGGCGGACGGGUGAGUAACGCGUGAGUAACCUGACUUUCAGUGGGGGAUAGCGCUUGGAAACGAACGGUAAUACCGCAUAAUGUAUUUUGACCGCAUGAUCGAAAUACCAAAGAUUUAUCGCUGAAGGAUGGACUCGCGUCUGAUUAGGUAGUUGGUGGGGUAAUGGCCUACCAAGCCGACGAUCAGUAGCCGGACUGAGAAGUUGGUCGGCCACAUUGGGACUGGGACACGGCCCAGACUCCUACGGGGGGCAGCAGUGGGGAAUAUUGCACAAUGGGCGCAAACCUGAUGCAGCAACGCCGCGUGAAGGAAGACAGUUUUCAGAGUGUAAACUUCUGUUCUUAGUGAAGGAUAAUGACGGUAGCUAAGGAACAAGCCACGGCUAACUACGUG